GAUGAACGCUGGCGGCAUGCUUUACACAUGCAAGUCGAACGGUAGGGUAGCAAUACCUGAGAGUGGCGAACGGGUGAGUAAUGCAUCGGAACAUGCCUAUUAGUGGGGGAUAGCCCGGCGAAAGCCGGAUUAAUACCGCAUACGAUCUAUGGAUGAAAGCUGGGGACCGCAAGGCCUGGCGCUAAUAGAGUGGCCGAUGUCAGAUUAGCUAGUUGGUGGGGUAAAGGCUCACCAAGGCGACGAUCUGUAGCUGGGUUGAGAGAACGACCAGCCACAAUGGGACUGAGACACGGCCCAGACUCCUACGGGAGGCAGCAGUGGGGAAUUUUGGACAAUGGGCGAAAGCCUGAUCCAGCAAUGCCUCGUGCAGGAUGAAGGCCUUCGGGUUGUAAACUGCUUUUGUACGGAGCGAAAAGGCUUCCAUUAAUACUGGGGGCUCAUGACGGUACCGUAAGAAUAAGCACCGGCUAACUACGCGCCAGCCGCCGCCGUAA
rnacentral:rRNA from 1 species